rnacentral:rRNA from 1 species
UGAGGUUAAGUGACUAAGCGUACACGGUGGAUGCCUAGGCAGUCAGAGGCGAUGAAGGGCGUGCUAAUCUGCGAAAAGCGUCGGUAAGGUGAUAUGAACCGUUAUAACCGGCGAUACCCGAAUGGGGAAACCCAGUGUGUUUCGACACACUAUCAUGUCAUGAAUACAUAGUGGCAUGAGGCGAACCGGGGGAACUGAAACAUCUAAGUACCCCGAGGAAAAGAAAUCAACCGAGAUUCCCCCAGUAGCGGCGAGCGAACGGGGAGGAGCCCAGAACCUGAAUCGGCUUGUGUGUUAGUGGAAGCGUCUGGAAAGUCGCGCAGCAAAGGGUGAUAGCCCCGUACACUAAAAUGCACAGGUCGUGAGUUCGAUGAGUAGGGCGGGACACGUGACAUCCUGUCUGAAUAUGGGGGGACCAUCCUCCAAGGCUAAAUACUCCUGACUGACCGAUAGUGAACCAGUACCGUGAGGGAAAGGCGAAAAGAACCCCGGCGAGGGGAGUGAAAUAGAACCUGAAACCGUGUACGUACAAGCAGUGGGAGCACCUUCGUGGUGUGACUGCGUACCUUUUGUAUAAUGGGUCAGCGACUUAUAUUUUGUAGCAAGGUUAACCGUAUAGGGGAGCCGUAGGGAAACCGAGUCUUAACUGGGCGAUUAGUUGCAAGGUAUAGACCCGAAACCCGGUGAUCUAGCCAUGGGCAGGUUGAAGGUUGGGUAACACUAACUGGAGGACCGAACCGACUAAUGUUGAAAAAUUAGCGGAUGACUUGUGGCUGGGGGUGAAAGGCCAAUCAAACCGGGAGAUAGCUGGUUCUCCCCGAAAGCUAUUUAGGUAGCGCCUCGUGAACUCAUCUUCGGGGGUAGAGCACUGUUUCGGCUAGGGGGCCAUCCCGGCUUACCAAACCGAUGCAAACUCCGAAUACCGAAGAAUGUUAUCACGGGAGACACACGGCGGGUGCUAACGUCCGUCGUGAAGAGGGAAACAACCCAGACCGCCAGCUAAGGUCCCAAAGUCAUGGUUAAGUGGGAAACGAUGUGGGAAGGCAUAGACAGCCAGGAUGUUGGCUUAGAAGCAGCCAUCAUUUAAAGAAAGCGUAAUAGCUCACUGGUCGAGUCGGCCUGCGCGGAAGAUGUAACGGGGCUAAACCAUGCACCGAAGCUGCGGCAGCGACGCUUAGGCGUUGUUGGGUAGGGGAGCGUUCUGUAAGCCGUUGAAGGUGGCCUGUGAGGGUUGCUGGAGGUAUCAGAAGUGCGAAUGCUGACAUAAGUAACGAUAAAGCGGGUGAAAAGCCCGCUCGCCGGAAGACCAAGGGUUCCUGUCCAACGUUAAUCGGGGCAGGGUGAGUCGACCCCUAAGGCGAGGCUGAAAAGCGUAGUCGAUGGGAAACAGGUUAAUAUUCCUGUACUUGGUGUUACUGCGAAGGGGGGACGGAGAAGGCUAGGCUAGCCGGGCGACGGUUGUCCCGGUUUAAGCGUGUAGGGGGUGUGACCUGGUAAAUCCGGUUGCAUACUAACCCUGAGGCGUGAUGACGAUGCACUACGGUGCAGAAGUAGUUGAUGCCCUGCUUCCAGGAAAAUCCUCUAAGCAUCAGGUAACAUUAAAUCGUACCCCAAACCGACACAGGUGGUCAGGUAGAGAAUACCAAGGCGCUUGAGAGAACUCGGGUGAAGGAACUAGGCAAAAUGGUGCCGUAACUUCGGGAGAAGGCACGCUGGCAUGUAGGUGAAGUCCCUCGCGGAUGGAGCUGAAGCCAGUCGAAGAUACCAGCUGGCUGCAACUGUUUAAUAAAAACACAGCACUGUGCAAACACGAAAGUGGACGUAUACGGUGUGACGCCUGCCCGGUGCUGGAAGGUUAAUUGAUGGGGUCAGCCGCAAGGCGAAGCUCUUGAUCGAAGCCCCAGUAAACGGCGGCCGUAACUAUAACGGUCCUAAGGUAGCGAAAUUCCUUGUCGGGUAAGUUCCGACCUGCACGAAUGGCGUAAUGAUGGCCAGGCUGUCUCCACCCGAGACUCAGUGAAAUUGAACUCGCUGUGAAGAUGCAGUGUACCCGCGGCA